rnacentral:rRNA from 1 species
AAGGUAGCAUAAUAAAUUGUCUUUUAAUUGAAGUCUGGAAUGAAUGGAUUAAUGAAUAUUUACUGUCUUUGAUUAACUUUAAAAAUUUACUUAAAAGGUGAAAGUUCCUUUUUUUUUAAAAGACGAGAAGACCCUAGGAGUUUUUUUGUUGGGGCGACAUUACAGCACAAACCUGUAUAAAAAAGCAAAAAUAAAACGAAUUUAAUUAAUCUUAAAUAAACUACCCUAGGGAUAACAGCAUAAAGUUUGUGACCUCGAUGUUGGACUAGGAGUCUUAUUAUUAGAAUUACUAUUAGACUGUUCUGUUCGAACAUUAUUACCU